CUGGAGGCGUGGGGUGGGGAGGGGGACAGGGCGAACGUGUCGCUUCCCCCGUGGCCCGCGGUCUCAUUUUCCACAUCUGCGAACGGGGGGGGGCCUCCGUGUCUUCUAACUCUAAAUGCGGCUUUUUUUCUGUGAUUCUGCUGACUUUGGGAAACAGAUAAUGUCUCUGCCUCUUCCACGCGCCUUCCCCGGGACCUCGGAGGGGACGCGGCUAUUUGGCUGGGUGCCUAGGUCUGCCCCAGGAAAGGCAGACCGCCUUGCCAUCUGUCUGUCGUGGUAGUUUGUGGGGUCUUCUGGGCAACGCAGAACACAUGCUGGAGGGGCCCGUGUUCGGGCUUGCUGGAAGUUCCCUGCUGUGUCUUGUGUUAAUGAUUACGUUCCUUUGACCUUUCACACAGCUGUUGUAGCUGAGGCAGAAAUGGGAUGUCCCACCUAACAGUUCAUUCAACAGUUGACCAACCCUCAGCCACCUCCUCUUGCCGGGUGCCUGGCCUCGGGAACCCGACACAGAAUCACUGGGCUCCCACGAGUGUGGCUUGGGUGCCCACCCGCUCUCCCCUGACCCGUUUACUGGCGUUGGUGAGGUUUGCUGUCACGGCGAUCACGGAGCAGGGAGCAUCCUGGCUACACGUGGAGGUUGAGGCUGACUGGAGCCCUGGGCAGCAUGAGAUGGCUGGGGAGAGAACAGAACUCUGAAGGGGAGCCUGGAGGCGGAGGGACCACCCGGAGGGGUGCAAGGGGAGCAGGGACUGGCCUGAAGCUGGGGCUGUAGGAGCGAAGGGCCAGUGGGAGCGAGGGGCCAGCGGGAGCGAGGGGCCAGCGGGAGCGAGGGGCCAGCGCACGGUGGGGGGUGUGGCAUUCAGCCUGCUGUCAGCCCGGCAGCCGCCUGAGUCACCUCCGGAUGGAGCCAGGAUGACACAGCUUCCUCGAACCGCAAACACAAGGUGACCAGACGUCCCCCAAGCCGGGCAGACAGUCUUGUCUUGCCGGAGGGCAGCCAGCCAGGGCCAGCCUGCAGGCUGGGUGUGGGCCGGGCUGGUGGGGUGCACAGCGAGGUGCUGCGGGACACCCCCCACGUUGAGGGGAGCUGGGGUGUGACAUCAGCAGAACCCUGUGUCCGGAGGCGGGCAGGGUGGUCUGGAGGUGGUCCCAAGCCCUCCUGGUCCUGGGGCCUGUGUUCAGCCGGUGAGGCAACAGGUCACUGUGGACGAGUCAGCGUUUGCUUGUUUGUCAGGAGCCCGCUGUGUGGGUCAACCCCGCCGUGCAGCCAGCCGGAGGGGCGCUCAGCUUUGGUCACCUGUGAGAGGCCCGCAGCCCUGCAGAGCAGAGUCGGCCACAUCUGGGUGGCUUCUGGCUUCAGGGUUUGCACCUGUCAGGUGAAGCGGUUGCUGCUCUGCGGCCUGGAGUGGGAACCUGCUCCUCCAAGACGGAACCCCUCGGCUCCCCUCCUCCCUCUUCCCCACCCUGACAGCCUUGGGGACCUGGGAGGAUGGCAGUGGGAGGGGUACCCCACGCCUAGCAGUUGCUGGGAGGCUCCGGAGCGGCCGCCUCCGCUCUCUGCCCGCUGGAACAGGUG
ensembl:lncRNA